UACAGAGGUCCCAAGCGUUGUUCGGAUUCACUGGGCGUAAAGCGCGUGUAGGCGGCUCGGUAAGUCUGCUGUGAAAGUCCAGGGCUCAACCCUGGGAUGCCGGUGGAUACUGUCGAGCUCGAGUCCGGAAGAGGCGAGUGGAAUUCCUGGUGUAGCGGUGAAAUGCGCAGAUAUCAGGAGGAACACCAAUGGCGAAGGCAGCUCGCUGGGACGUGACUGACGCUGAGACGCGAAAGCGUGGGGAGCAAACAGG
rnacentral:rRNA from 1 species